CCCUUUUUUUGGGGGGUGCUUAUUCACUUGAAACUGUUCUAAUACGCAGAACUUGAAAGUCCCCACCCACUGAGUGAUCUCUCUUCCUCAGAGUACGCAGAAGUUCAAGAGAAAGUGUCUCAGAUUAUCAACCAAGAGUCAUUAAUGGAAAGUACAGGUUUCAAACAUAAGCUGGAAAACUUGGAAGACAAAGCUUAGGUAUGAAAAGAGUGCAAUUUAUUCAAACAAAGCAAAGAAAGCACCAGACUGUCUACUGAAACUUUUAAACCAGAUACACCUGCAAAGACUGAACAAAUUAGAGGACUUCCACAAGUUUGUUCUUCAAAAGUUGAGCAACCUGGAGAAAGAUAUUCAGGCUCUGAAACACCUGGAGAAGGAAGUGCUGGAAUUUUGGGAAAAACAGUCUGAUGAUCUGAAAUCAUUCUGUGAUCUGCAAGUGCUGAGGUAUAUUUUUUAGAAGUAUUUAUAGGAAGAAUUUUGACGUGUGAAGUAAUGUGUUUGCUAGAGUAUGUG
rnacentral:lncRNA from 1 species